UUAAUAGUCAUUUACCGCCAUCUAUUGGUGACUUUCCACAAUAUUUUUAACUUGUUUGUUCAAAAAAUAUUUAAAACAUAAAUCUCUCAUUUGAAAGUCGCUAAAUGACUGAAUGUAAAGUAAUGACAUUGAUACAUUUUGAGAUUUAUUUUCAGCCAAGGCGGCUCAAUCAUGCUCCACAACUUUUUCAAUAUUAAAUUGUAGUGAACAACUAAACUUCUGGAAACUUAACUCAAAUUAACUCGACUAAUUUUAGUGUUUUUUUAAUUCUUUCUCAACAGAAUUGACCCAUGUUCCUUCACUAACAAGUGAAGAAAGCUCAAUUGAGAUUUCAAGCAAUGAAUCUGAUGACACCAUUCUUCUAAGUGAUGACAGCCCUACAAGAAAGAGGAGAGCUGAAGAUGAAGCAGGAAUUAUGGUCAAAAAAUUCUGCAGACUAAACCUGGUGGGGAUGGAAUCAUCAGAGAGUACAACAAAACCAAAUGCUUAUCUGACAGCAACAGGAGAAAGAUGGUCAAUAUUCUUACUGCAGAUAUGACUGAAAAGCACAGCUCAUCUCCACCCAAACAAGUAAGAGAACUGUAUGCUCAAGGAAUCAUUGCCCUGUUUCCAUAUCUUAGGGAUCCAUAUGCAAAGCUUGGUUAUGAACAUUAUUAUGACCCUCAAAGUGGACAAGGGUACUUGUCAUGGAAAAUAAAGAACAUUCAGAGGAACAGUGCACCAUCAGAGAUCCGUAGAUGUGUCCCCCAGUCUUUUGGUGGCCCAUCUGCGCAGAGAGAA